GCUCUUUUUCCAGCAGCAGCAAUGGGUUUUCCUGAGCCCUCAUUACUAACGGGCAGAUCUAUCUGCUGGGCAUGCAAGUUGGUUCCACUGCCUUGACUUUGGAAGGCCUUCCACCUGUAGCGGAUGAGCUGUGAAUCCAGCAGUCCGCAACAUAAAGAAGUGCAUUCUACUGGAUUGUCGAAUAGAGAGGGGACCUGGGAGGUAAGGUCAGGAGUUUAACUACCAAACUGAGGCAUUUCCCUUCAUUCGUUAGGCAAUGGGCAGCCAUUAAAUGUUCUGAGUAAGGGAAUGACGUGAUUGAAGAUGUGCUUUAAGAAGAUUAAACGGGCAUGAGCGUCUCGAACAUAAGAGAUCAAACAAGCAGUGGCGGGGUGAGAAUGAAAAGAAGUAUGCAGAAGGAAGAUAGACCCUUCAGGAUCUGGCAAUUGGAUUUAAUGACCAAGGAAAAGGAAAGACUCCUACUUUUAAGGCUGGAUGAUUUGAAGUCAGGGUUUGACUGGAAGGGAAGAUGAUGACUUUGGCCUUAGACUGUAAAUCCCGCCAGAGCAAGACCAUAUCUGCUGACUGAUGCACUGCACGUCCCCAGGACCCGGCUCACAGUACAUGCUCAAUAAACACCGCCUCCUUGGAAUGAGUGGAGAAUGACCGAACAGCAGGAACUCCACCGCUCAAGACAGAAUGCGCCCUCUGCUAUUUGUAUAAUUUCUGAUGUGGCUUCUGUCCUCCACCCUUGCUUUUUUCCCUCAGCACGUUCUGCAGCUUCCCAGUCCUGAUCCACGCCCAGGAAGCCUCCGCUCUCCACGGGUAAGGAAGGCCCCGGGCUUCCGAGCCCUGGUUCACUGGCUGCCCAAGCCCGGAAGUGCAGUGGCCCUGCCAUUGCCCUCCUGACCACGCCACGAGAGUUUUAGACCCCUGGGAAGCACAGGCCUCCAGACCCGUGAGAGAGGACCAGUCCACACCGCAGAAAGCACCACUUCCUCCUGCUGUGUAGUGGAUGCCGCCACCUAGCCACAAGGAAGAUAAAUCUUUUCUUAAUCUCUUUGAAACCCAGGCCAACUGUGAUAAAAGGAAAAGCGUUCCCUGGGGUUUGUUAAUCAAACCAACUGUCUUAGUCGCUUGGCAGAGACACGUAUGGAUGCUAUGCUGUGUCUGUCAGUAGGCAGUUUUUGCCUAAUUUAUCCAAAGGAAAUGUCUGUGUGAUGUACUUUUAAUUCACUGAGAAGGAUAAGUGUUCAAACCUUUGCAAAUUACGCUGAAGUUAGUUUUUCAAGGUCCACAUAGCUGCAGCUCUGUCAAAUCUUCCUUUAAAACAUAGAGUGUGACUAGCUGUGAUAAAUUAUACAGUUUUAUAAACGUCAUAUCUUACAGUGUUGUUGUGAAACUUAAAGAGGAUGAAUUGGGAAGAGCACCCAGCAGCAUCCUUGGCAUAUCAGUUGCCUUUCCUCUUAUUCCCUUUCCAGCUUUUAGAGUAAUGGAAGACAGAAUAGAUGAAAUUCUUAUUUGGGUGGAUGAGGAAUGGUUUUGGCUAGAAAUAACAGAAAACUUAAUAUAAGAGUUUUAAAAAUAAGAGCUUUUUCACUCACCUGACACUAAGUCUGAUGGAACCUGUUGCUUUGGUUUUAGUUUGGGAGCCCAACAAAUCCAUAGCCAGUAGCUCUUCACUUCUCUUGGCCUUUUCCUCAUGCAUAUUGCCUCAUGGUUCUAAAAUGGCUGCUGCAGCUCCAGACAUCAUAUUCAUAUUUGAGACAGGAAAGAAGGGUAAGAGACCCAUCUGGUCCUUUUAUUAGGAAAGCAAAAAGUUUUUCCAGAUCACUUUCUACCCCCUCAGCUGUUUCGUGUCUCACUAGGCACUCAGGCUCACUGGAACUUGAGAAAAUGAGUUCUUAGCUUUUUCAGUGGAGGUUAGCAAGGGAGAGCCAGUCCUGGUGGUCUAGUGGUUAAGAUGUGGUAUUCUCACGGCCAUGGCCCUGGCAAUUUCCCAGUCAGGGAACCACACCACCCAUCUGUCGGUUGUCAUACUGUGGCGGCUGUGUGUUUGAAGCUGAAAGCUCUGCCACCAGCAUUUCAAAUACCAGCAGGGUCACCCAUGGUGGACAGGUUUCAGUGGAGCUUCCAGACUCAGACAGACUAGGAAGAAGGACCUGGCCACCCACUGCGGACAAAUUGUCCAUGAAAACCCCACGUACAGCAGCGGAGCACUGUCCGAUAUAGCGCCGGAAGGGGAGAGGGUGGGGGCUCUGCUGUGCACCGGGGGUCUCCGGGAGUUGGAAUCGAUUGAUGGCACCAACAGAGACAAGGGCGAGGCGGUCAGAAAUGAGUCUCUGGUCGGCUCACUUGAAGCAUCGCCACCUGAUGCUCUCAGGAGGGCCCGCACUGUUCUGCAGAGCUGGGGACAGAGGGGAGGGCAGUGAGCAACCGCACGUUUGCUUUCUCCCCUUCGUCUACUGAAGACCCACCUUGGAGUAGUUGGAUCCCAUCUGGGGACAUAAGCAGGUCUAUGAAGCUGCACAGUCGGCGGGUGCUGGGCUGGCUCCUACAUCUCGUGAGAGCCGAUUGUUAAAUUUUUAUGAAAGUUAUAGGCCAGCUGAUAAAUAUAGUCAUUAUUAAAGUUGAAUUAUAUGAACUUAUAAUUAAAUAAAUCAUACUGAAAAAGGUAAUGAAUACUCAAAAAAAAAAACCCUCAUCAUUUCCUAAUAUUUUACUACACGUUACCACUGACUAUGCUCUUGAGGUUAUUUACGUCUGCUGUAUCUGUAUAGUAUUUAAAAAAUGUGCUGCUGUGCAUUUCUUCCCAGCUCUGUGUUUAGUGAGAGCAUAUUGGCAACUUUAAAUUGGCCAUGAUGGGAGUACUUACACCACAGAAAUCAGAAAAUGCUGCAAAUCUGGUUUUGGGGUUUUUUUUG
ensembl:lncRNA